AGUUGGAUAGUUCUAAUGUAAAGAUUAUGAACGAGUCUCGAAUCUGCGGAUAGCAUGAGGCGCAAGGUGCCUGGUUGGAGAAGUGAUGGAGAUGCCUGAAGAGUUUAAGCGUGGAGACAAGGUGUAGUCAAGAAGAAUCUGGAAAAGUGCUCAGGGUGCCCACUUGGAGAAAUGCUCUGCCUAGACUGUUUUUCGAGAGCUAUGCAGAAUGUUGGAUCCUGGAAAGCCAUCUUUCACUUGUGGAAAAAGGAAAACUAGCAUCAUUUUACAAGGGUCUGGUAAAACCACAACACCUACCAAAUAUGCUCAUUAUCAUCAAAAGAAAGGCUGGAAACCGGCUCUAGUUUGUGCUGAUACAUUUAGAGCUGGCGCAUUUGAUCAGUUGAAGAAAAAAGUGGCUCCAGAAAGUCUGCUGAUGGCAUUAAGGCGAUGCAGCUGCUCGAGACUUGCUUGAAUAGGCAGCACCUUCACCAUCUUCGGCAAUACUCCAAGAAUUACUGACAUCAACAAAAGCCAUUUGGAAAGCUAAAUCUGACAAUAAUGAGAGCUUGAACUCUGGAGUAUGGACUUGAAGAUUCAGCAAUGGUUCCGUAUAUGGAAAGAAGCACUUCAGCAUCUCAGUCUUCAACCUCAGUGUUGAAAAUAAAACUUGGAAAUACGGUACUGAUGUCCCUGGAGGAUGAUCAAAUCAUAAACAAAGGUGAGUUGAAUUACUUUGAAUGUGUUUUUAGUGUCGAGGAAACUGCCUCAGUUCAUUCUGUCAAAUAGAUGCUGGUAACAAGCAGAACCUCCAAUUUUGGAAGCAGAGUAUACCAAAAUGGAAUUCAAAUUUACAAAUUGUAUCCACUGGUAAUGAAUAAGGAAAAAUAGCUAUGGCAUGGUUGACCCCUCAACUCCGAAAACCAUACAAAGGCCCCCUUGUGGGGAGGCACAAAAUAGGGUGAAAGUGAUGCGUUUUUAUAGUUGAGAGAGGUCAAAAUGCACGGAUUCGUAGAUGAUGGGGAAAGAUGAUAUUCACAAAUGCUUUAGGGAGUCUUAGGUAGUGUUUGGUUCACCGGAAUUAAGUAGAAUGAAAUGAUCAUUCCAUCAAAAAUAUUCAUUCCUAUGUUUGGUUAGCUUAAAAAAUUAAUAAAAAAUGCAUUACAAAUGAA